AGACGUGGAGUGGAGGGGGUAGGAGGAGGAGGUGCCAAUGACGGGGUCCGAGGCGAUCCCUGUUACCUGUGUUCGUCGGGCAUUAGACGUCAUCGCGGGUCUUGGCCAGCUCUGGAGGAAGACAAGGAAAUACAGCACCACCAACACCACCAACCAACCCAACCCAACCAAGCAACCAGCCAUCAAGACGAUUCAUACCAAGGCGGCGAUACCCUGCAAAUGGACUGAGUGGCCGACAAGGGACGUGAAGGCUGUGGCGCAGGAAGCUAAGCCAGGUAUCGGUAAUUCCAGGUAUCAGUAAUCUCAGGUGUAUCCAGGUGACACGCGGCAUCACUCAGUGGGGCGUGAAGGCAAACCAAUACACGUCUGCCACCUGGAACGAUCCCGCGCUAUACAAAUUUCAGUAAUCCUAUGAGACCUUACCUGUGGCGUCUGCUCGAUUCAACCACACCCCGCGAAGGAAAGGGUGGGAAUGCAAACCGGAAAUUUGUGAACUUGUGGGAGCUUGAACAAAAGGCUUGGGAAUGUGUGGACUUGUUGAACCGAAUCAUAUGAACGUGUGAAAUAGAACUUAGAACUUGUGAAAUGGAAUCUUGAGAACUUGAGAAUGUGUUAAGUUACUGAAUCAAAGUCUUGUGAGCAUGUGAUAUUAGUGAACCAGUGUUUUUAAGCGUGUGAACUUAUUGAAACGAGAACGUGUGAGUGCGUGAAAAUGGACCUAGAACUUGUGAACUGGUGGAAUUUAUUGAACCUGGAUCUUGUGAACGUGUGAAACUGAUCUGAGGAACA